UCCUCUGCAGCUCCGGCUCCCCCUGGCCUCUCGGGAACUACAAGUCCCAGGGGGCCAGGCGGCGGGCGGAGACCGGAAGAG
rnacentral:pre_miRNA from 1 species